AAUAAUACCAAAAAAAUAGUUAAUAGUGAAAAAUUUAACCAGGCAUUUCUUGCGGGGAGGAGAACAUGGAUGACGGAUGUAGGCGUAGCUGCUUCCACUCUUUCUUUCUCUCUCUAAAAACGGAAUAACUCAUAUAGCAGUUACAAGAAGCGCAUCGAAUUCUCUUGUGAUCCAAUUUCCGUGAAAUGUGCUUCGCGAUCGAUCAUCGAUGAAGCAAUCUCAUCGGUGGCAGAGGACUUUGCUCCUCUGUCUCCUCUCUCUCCGUCGUCGCUCCGGUCAUUUUCGUCUCUCGUAGGCUUCAAGUUCUAACUCGCGAUGGUCGGAGAGAGUUUCUUGAUGAUUUAUCCAGUGUUAAAUAUAGAACAGAUCCUGUAAAGUUAAAUGCUAUAGAAAGGUAGACUGGGAAGAAUUAGAAGAGCCAAAGCAAGUUGUUUAUAAAGAAAAUGAUUUUGGUUCCAAGAAUAGCGAUGAUUUGGAAAAAAAUAAUGAUUAUGAGGACUCAGAAGAAUUAGACGAGCCAGAGCAAGUUGUUUAUAAAGAAAAUGAUUUUGGUUCCAAGAAUAGUGAUGAUUCGGAAAAAAUAAUGAUUCCGAGGACUUGGAAGAAUUAGAAGAGCCAAAGCAAGUUGUUUAUAAAGAAAAUAAUUUUGGUUCCAAGAAUAGCGAUGAUUUGGAAAAAAAUAAUGAUUCUGAGGACUCGGAAGAAUUAGAAGAGCCAAAGCAAGUUGUUUAUAAAGAAAAUGAUUUUGGUUCCGAGAAUAGCGACGAUACGGAAAAAAAUAAUGAUUCUGAGGACUCAAGGAAAAAAAUAAUGAUUCUGAGGACUCAAGAAUUGAGGGGGUCCAGAAAUAAUUACUUGGAAAAAAAGAAUUCGACCAUGAUGAUGAAACACAAGACCAGGAAGCUCAGCAUAAAGGAUUGUCCUCCACAGAUGGAGAUCAGGACCAGAACUCGGGGAUGGAUUGUACUACUUUGAUGAAACUCCCCUUGGAAAUGCAAUGGUUUUUGGUUUAAACAGUGCAAGUUUACCUACCGUUUCAGAUCAAGUUAUGUUAUGGCAUAAAAGAUUAGGCCAUCCUAGUUUCCCUUAUCUUGAGUAUUUAUUUCCAAAAUUUGCCAAAGAAAUUCCUCACAAUUUCAUUGUGAAGCUUGUCACUUAGCUAAAGAUCAUCGUGUGUCUUUUACUUCAAAAGUUUAUUCUGCUUCGCAACCUUUUUAUUUAAUCCAUAGUGAUGUUUGAGGUCCUUCAAAAAUCAAAACUAUGUCCGAAAAAAAAUGGUUUUUGAAAAAAAAUCUGAAGUGGAACAAAGGUUUAAAGAUUUUUUUCAAAUGAUUGAAAACCAAAUUCAAACUAAGAUUGACAUUCUAAGGUCUGACAAUGACACCGAUUAUUUCAACAAAUAUCUAAGUACUUUUCUAGUAACUAAGGGGAUAAUUGAUUAAUCCACUUGUCGUGAUACUCCUCAACAAAACGGUAUUGCUAAACGAAAAAAUAGACAUCUCCUCGAAGUUACUAGAGCUAUUAUGUUUUCUAUGUAUCUAAUUAUCUUCGGGGAAAUGCCUUAUCUGCUUGUUACCUCAUCAAUAGAAUGCCAUCUUGUGUUUUAGAAUGAGACUCCUGUGCAAGUUUUACAAAAUUAUUUUUCCACAUCUCACAUCAUUGCGGAUCUUCCCCUUAAAGUUUUUGCUUGUCUUUGUUAUGUCUAUAUCCCAAAUAUUUUUCGUUCCAAAUUGGUUCCUAAAACUGAAAAAUGUGUUUUUCUUUGCAACCCUUCAAAUAAAAAGGGUUACAAAUGUUUUAAUCCAAUAACAAAGAAUUUUUUUGAAAGUAUGGAUGUCAACUUUGUCGAAAAUCAAUCUUUUUUUAAUAAAAAUUCUCUUCAGGGGGAGAAUUGUUGUGUUGAUAAAGAAGAUAAUUUUUGGAAAACUUUACCUGCACUGGUGACUACAAAUCAUCCAGAUACAAAGAUAAUAGAACCUAGAAUGCUUUAUCUUGAAUUGUCGGAUAAUAUAAUGUCUGAAACAGGGGGAGAAAAAAUGAUUCGGAUAAUAUAAUGUCUGAAACAGGGGGAGAAAAAAUGAUUGAGGAUCAUAAUCCUCAAGUUCACUGUAUGUUCGAAAAAGGUUUCACAAAGGUAUACAAAUCCAAUUGUCUCUCUUGCAAAAAUCCAAUCUGAUUUACCAAGUGAAGGUCCUACAGAAAUUUCACCUUCUAGUUCUUCAUCUGUUGCAGAAGAGAUUUAAUACAACAGUUAUGGACAAUCAGAAUAUACAAACUCCCUUUCAAAGAAAGAAAGUUGAGAAUAUUAUUGAAGUUACUGAAAAGCAAUCUGGUUUGACAGUAAGCCAACAUCGUCAUAUUUCACGCCGUCGGUCUCGCAAAGUGACAAAUCAGACCGUUUUGGAGAUUAAGGAUCAAAUUAUCAGAGCCAGAGCAUACUUGGGAUUGUCUCUACCAAGCAGCACCUCACACUUGGUGAAGGAGUUGAGGAUGAGAAUUAGAGAGAUGGAACUUGCUGUUGGAGAAGCUACCAAAGAUUCAGAUCUUUCAAGGAGGUAAGUAUUCUCUGUAAUUCUGUGACUUGCGUUUUCUUCAGCAAUUAUUACUUUUAUCUGCUAAACAAAAUGUGGCCUGUAGAGAAAACUAAUGCUCGGGUCCUGUAAAUAAUAUAACAUUUUUUUCCACCUCACCACUACUACUAAUUUUCUUAGCUGACUCCCAGUAUGUUUAAAUUUGCUUCUAUUUCCACUGUCAUAUCCCCCGUGCUGAUAAAAGCAAAUAAAAUGUACAUACUUCAGUAAAGGAAGUUAAAAUUGGAGCGAUAAAAACAUUGCCUUUUUUCAAAAGUUCAAAUUCCAAUCUGCGAAAAUAUAGCGAUGUCUUUCAGUACAAAAUUAAUGAUAGAGAGAACAUUUGUGUAGACUUUAGGGGACACAAGUUGUUAAAAAAACACGAGAAUAUUUUCAAUUUGAAAACAAGUGAAGUUCACAGUGCUUUGCAGAAAAUGAGACAGAUGGAGGGUUCACUGUCUACCGUGCUUUCCCAGACUGCUCUGCUAUGGCUGCUAAGCUCCGUGCGAUGAAUGAUAACGCUGAAGAACAAGUUCGUUCUCAGCAAAACGAAGUAACCCAUCUUGUUCAUCUUGCCGCUAGGACCACCCCUAAAGGUCUUCACUGUCUUUCUGUGCAACUAACUGCUGAUUACUUUUCCCUGAGACCUGAGAAUAGAAAGCUGCCAAAUAAAAAUAAGAUUCAUGAUCCGGAACUUUAUCAUUAUGCUGCCUUCUCUGACAAUGUUCUGGCAUGUGGAGUGGUUGUUAACUCAACUGUGUCUUAAUUCCAAGGUAAAUAUUGAUAAGUUUUUCAAAAGUUAUUUAACCUUUUUGUUUUUUAUUCAUUUGUUCUGUGCAUUUCCUUAUGUUGAACCCCUGAUGUAUAACUCAUGAAAAAGAAAAAUUGUCCUAGCAAGUUCAAUGUUUGUAAAUUUACUGUAAAUUUAUGAUAUGGACCUCUAGUUCUGCUGAGAAGGAUUAAUCAUACUGAUUAAGAUUUACUGUUUAA